rnacentral:snRNA from 1 species
AUUAAUACCUGGCAGGGGAGAUAUCAUGUUCACCAAGGUAGUUUUCCCAAGGCGAGGCUUAUUCAUUGCACCCCAGAUGUGCUGACCCCUGCGGUUUCCCCAAAUGUGGGAAACUCAACUGCAUAAUUUAUGGUAGCAGGGGACUGC